rnacentral:lncRNA from 1 species
UCCAGAUUAAUUAAUAUUGUUUGAAGUUCCAUUUUUCUACUCAUCAAUAUAAAGUUGAAGUUAAUAUAAAUUUAUCAAAACCACCUAUGGAAUCAUGAGAAUAUAUAUAUAAUAUAAGAAUUUCUCCAUGUUCAAAUUCUUGAAUAGAUCUUAAAUAAUUUGGUAGCCAAAGUCUGAAGACAGAUACCCCACAUUAGAACUUCCAAAAUUUAUAUUUUGUACAACUGGUAAGCUAGCUAGAAGCUAGCUGUAUGUUACAGACACAGACAAAUAAACAAAUACAAAUAAAAACGCUGUGAAACAUUCUCACGUGUAAGACACAUAACAAAAAAAAACCUACUGGUAUGAUACACAUCAGAAGGAUAUUUUAUCAGUGUUUGAAUAUUUUGUUUUGAUGCAGCUGAAAAAGAAAAAUAAACAAACGAAUGUUACCAAACCAGCAUUUCAUUUCUCCUCAAAAGGGGAGCAAAAGAAUGAAAAAUAGAUUAUAUUAUACAUGCCGUUAUGGGCAGGGAACAAACAAUAAUAACGAUAACAUGCGUGUUUGCUUGUGUUAAAUCCAAGAAUAAACACCAUUCACAACCCUUCUCAGUUAAACUCAUUCCUUUUCUCUAUCUCUCUCUCUACAUGCCUGCACAGGCACAGCACAUGCUUCUCUGCAGUACUCUCACCAUCCACAUACCAAAACCAAUAGCGGUGUGUUUGAGAGAGUUUGCGUGCUAUUCGAGGCAUUGGCUAAAUAUUGAAGCAGAAAAAGUUUUCUUUUAAGAUAAAAAAGGGACCAAAGGUUAUAUAAUAUAUAUGCUAAAAUGACACUAUAUGUAUAUAUAGUUACAUAUACUUCCGACAAAUAAUCAACUUCAAAUUUGUCUUUACAACAACAAUUGUAGCAUGUGUACUUCAAAGCUGUCCAAACCAAAUACAGUACCACCUUAAAAAGUUAAGCAAAACUUUGGUUAAUUGUAACUAGAGAAGGGAUUGUUUUGUUAGGAUCUGGAUGAUUACUGCUAGUGUGGUAUAUAUGUGAUAAAAUGAUGAAAAGGGUUGCAGAAAAUAUAGAGAAAGAAUUGAAGGGGGAGUGUGAUGGAGUAGAAUCUAACCGUGAGAGACACUUGCAUACAAAGAGGAAGAGAGAGAGAGAAAGAGAAGCAUAAGAACACAGAAACAAGACUGCAAUUGGAGGCAGAGGCAGUACUGAUGAGUGCACAAAACCAAGAGGGGAAGAGGGUCCAAUAAAAUCUGACACCAGGAUUCCCACACUUGUUGCUUCCAACACUCUACACGAUAAAGCUAGCUAGCUACCUUCCCAUCUCUUACCAUUUUUAAUCCCUGUUUUUCUCUUUCCCUUCUCAAUCCUUUGCCAAUUUCUACAUACCAAAUCCAGGCCUACCUUAGCUUUUUUCUAGAACCACUCCAUUAAUUCUCACACACUCCAAACACCACCCAACUGCUCUUCCUUUUUUGACUCUCAUCUCCUUCUUCACACACCACUCACACUAUUAUUAAUUCUUACCCUUUAAUUGCUGCAUUUCAAAAGCUGUUAAUCAUCCAAGUGUUUAACAUUUAAUAUCUGUACUUUUCACUGAAACAUGCACAUCAGUACAUUCAUUACUUAAAUUAAUUAUUAGUAUCUCAGACAUGCAUAUAACAUUUUAUGAGUCUAUGUUUGUCUUGUUCCUCUCCUCCUUAUUGUCCCCAGUGCCAUGUUCUCCCCUCUG